rnacentral:rRNA from 1 species
CGUGCCUACGGGGGGCAGCAGGAGGGAAGCUUCCACAAUGGGCGAAAGCCUGAUGGAGCAACGCCGCGUGGGGGAAGAAGGUCUUCGGAUCGUAAAACCCUGUUGUUAGAGAAGAAAGUGCGUGAGAGUAACUGUUCACGUUUCGACGGUAUCUAACCAGAAAGCCACGGCUAACUACGUGCGAGCAGCCGGGGUAAUACGUAGGUGGCAAGCGUUAUCCGGAUUUAUUGGGCGUAAAGGGAACGCAGGCGGUCUUUUAAGUCUGAUGUGAAAGCCUUGGGCUU